UACAUGUGGGGCAAGCGUUAAUCGGAAUUACUGGGCGUAAAGCGUGCGCAGGCGGUUUUGUAAGCCAGAUGUGAAAUCCCCGGGCUUAACCUGGGAAUGGCAUUUGGGACUGCAAGGCUUGAGUGCGGCAGAGGAGACUGGAAUUCCUGGUGUAGCAGUGAAAUGCGUAGAUAUCAGGAGGAACACCGAUGGCGAAGGCAGGUCUCUGGGCUGACACUGACGCUCAUGCACGAAAGCGUGGGGAGCAAACAGG
rnacentral:rRNA from 1 species